GGGGGGGGGGGGGGGGGGGGGGGGGGGGGGGGGGGGGGGGGGGAGGGGGGGGCGGGGGGGGGGUGGGCGGGGGGCGCACGGGGGCGGAACGCGGGAGUAACCUGCGCCUGCCUUUGGGAUACCUUGAGGGGACUUGGGCUAAUAACGGCUGUGGGCGACGGCUCCCAGGGGUGGGUUGGACAGUUUCGGGGGUUGGGGAUGGACUGUAGGCCUAUUAGCUUGUUGGUGGGGUAGUGGCUUACCAAGGCGUUGACGGGUAGCCGGCCUGAGAGGGUGACCGGCCACAUUGGGACUGAGAUACGGCCCAGACUCCUACGGGAGGCAGCAGUGGGGAAUAUUGCACCAUGGGCGGAAGCCUGAUGCAGCAACGCCGCGUGCGGGAUGACGGCCUUCGGGUUGUAAACCGCUUUCGCCUGUGACGAAGCGUGAGUGACGGUAAUGGGUAAAGAAGCACCGGCUAACUACGUG
rnacentral:rRNA from 1 species